rnacentral:rRNA from 1 species
AUGAGCGUGAUGGUAACCAAGUCUUGGCCGGUGCUGGUCCGCCCGUCGACGCCGACGAUGCCCGACCGCAUCAAAGUCUCCCCCUUCGACAAGCCUGUUGCCUUCUGCGCCUUCUCGUCGUUCCUCGUCUUCGACCGGGCAAUCCACGAGCCCGCCGAAAUCAUAAAGAGGGCGCUGUCUCGAGCUCUGGUCCACUUCCGCCUCAUGGCCGGCCGCGUCAUCGUGGGAGACGACGACGGCGAGCUCUGCAUCGCAUGCACCGGCGAGGGCGUGGAGUUCGUGGCCGCGACGGCCAACUGCGCCCUGGAGGACGUCAAGCUCUUCGACCCGCCGUUCGCGGCGGUGCUAGGAGACCUCGCUGCCGACUACCCGGAGGCCAGCUGCCGCGUGACCGACCCCUUGCUUCUCAUGCAGGUGACAGAGUUCUCCUGCGGCGCGUUCGUCCUUGGUGUCACGUGGAACCACGUCGUCGCCGACGGCACGGGGAUCGCUCUGCUCCUACGGGCCAUGGGCGAGCUGGCGCGCGGGCGGGCUCAGCCGUCCGUCUCCCCGGUCUCCUGCGCCGAGCAUCUCCUGCCGGACCUCCCGCCUUUGGUCGCCGCUAUAGAGCAGACCAUGGUUGGCCACCUGGAGCCCCAGGAUUACUCCUACCUCGACUUCACGCUGCCGAUGAGCACUAUCGACCGCAUCAGAGCCGAGCUCAGCGACGAGCUGGGCGCGCCGUGCACCGUAUUCGAGGCGGCUACGGCCGUACUAUGGCAGUGCCGCAGCCGCGCCAUCAUGCCCGACGACGACCCGGGCACCCUGGCGCCGCUCAUCUUCACCGCGGACGCGCGUAGGCACGUCGGUGCCGCGGACGGCUACUACAGCAACUGCGUCAUUACGCAGGCAAUCACCCCGUCUCCGACGAUCCGUGAGGUGGCUGAUGGGGACAUCAAAGACGUCGUUAAGCUGGUCAGGAGUGGCAAGGAGCAGAUACCUGCCACCUUCGCCGGAAAAGAACAAGCAGAAGGCGUGCCAGGCGUGGACGCGCUGUUCGGGUACAACUUGUUAUUCGUGACGAGCUGGAGGAACCUGGGCUUCGAGGCGACGGACUUCGGCGGCGGGACGCCGGCGCGCGUGAUGGGACACGUGGGGCCCAAGUCGGUGCCGGCCUGCGUGGCGUGCCUGCCGUACAGGGACAAAGACGGGGCCAACAUCCUGUCGCGCUUCGUCAAGGAGGAGCACGCCGGCGCCUUCCUUGCCGAGCUAGCCAAGUUCAUGUGA